rnacentral:siRNA from 1 species
UGACAUGUGUGCGAGUCAA